rnacentral:rRNA from 1 species
UUUAAUUAAAGACUAGAAUGAAAGGUUUUACAUUUAAAUUAUUAUUUUAAUUAUUUCCUUUAAAUUUAUUUCAAAUGUAAAAAAACAUUUAUUUUUAAGAAAGACGACAAGACCCUAUCGAACUUUACUUUAGUUUAACUGGGGCAGUUAAUUAAUUAAAAUUUAAUUUUACAUUAAUAUAUUAAUGAUCUGAUAUAAUCAAUUAUAUGAUCAAGUUACCGUAGGGAUAACAGCGUAAUUAUUAUUAAUAGAUCUUAUAUAAAUAAUAGAUUGCGACCUCGAUGUUGAAUUAAUUUUUCUAUUAGAUGCAACAAUUUAAUAAGAAAGUCUGUUCGACUUUUAAUAAAUUACAUGAUUUGAGUUCAGACCGGUGUAAACCAGGUCGGAUUCUAUCUUCUUAUUUCUAUUUUCUCCUAGUACGAAAGGACCUGAGAAUAUUUUACUAUAUUGGCAGACAAUUGCAUUAGAAUUAGAAUCUAACUAACUACAAAUAUUAUUUUCAUUAAAUUUUAUCAUCUCUAUUCUAAGA